GACGAACGCUGGCGGCGUGCUUAACACAUGCAAGUCGAGCGGAGAGGCCUUUCGGGGUACUCGAGCGGCGAACGGGUGAGUAACACGUGAGUAAUCUGCCCUGUGCUCUGGGAUAGCCACCGGAAACGGUGAUUAAUACCGGAUAUGACCAGCCUACGCAUGUGGUGUUGGUGGAAAGUUUUUUCGGCGCAGGAUGUGCUAGCGGCCUAUCCGCUUGUUGGUGAGGUAAUGGCUCACCAAGGCUUGGACGGGUAGCCGGCCUGAGAGGGUGACCGGUCACACUGGGACUGAGACCCGGCCCAGACUCCUACGGGAGGCAGCAGUGGGGAAUAUUGCACAAUGGGCGCAAGCCUGAUGCAGCAACGCCGCGUGCGGGAUGACGGCCUUCGGGUUGUAAACCGCUUUUAGUAAGGAAGAAGGGGAGCUUGCUCCUUGACGGUACUUGCAGAAAAAGGACCGGCUAACUACGUGCCAGCCGCCGCGGUAAGAC
rnacentral:rRNA from 1 species